ACCUUUGCCCUGUGACCUUUGGGUUUGGUCUUCUUCUUCAGCUGUUGCCUCUCCUCAAUUCAGUGCGGCUGGCUCCACCCCCGGUUAUAAAGAGACGCACUUUCCAGGGUGAACAAGGACAGGCGGGGAUUCAAGGUCCACCAGGGCCACCUGGUCCAUCAGGGCCAACUGGACCAUCUGGACCAGCAGGAAAUCCAGGACAACCUGGCCCUGUUGGGCCACCUGGCAAAGCAGGGGAGCCUGGAAAGGCAGGCAAGGAUGGAAAGGU
rnacentral:lncRNA from 1 species